ACGCUGCCUAUAGAAACCUGGGGUUUCUGGCUGGGCAUCGACAAUGGCGGCGGAUGCACCCCUGGAGUCAGCCUUUUCCACUUGUCUCUCGUGCCCAAGUAGACCUGUGGUGACCUUGCUUGGCAGCGAAUGAGGGGCGCUAAUGGUGUCGCCUGAGAGGACACCGAAUGAGGGGCGCUAAUGUCCUGUCCUCCCGUCCUGCUCAGCAUCAAAUAUGGCGAUGAGCUACUCGUGGCUGCGGCUUCUCGUGCUGCCUAUAGAAACCUGGGCUUUCUAUCUGGGCAUCGACGUUGGCGGCAGAUGCACCGCUGGAGCCAGCCUUCCACUUUUCUCUCACGCCGAAGUAGACUGGUGGUGACCUUGCUUGGCAGUGGAUGAGGGGCGCUGCGGGUGACGCCAGAGAUGACACUGUUGUCCCGUCCUCGCAUCCUGCUCAGCAUCAACUAUGGCGAUGAGAGAGCUCCUUUUGUACUCUCAUAAUGGAACCCCAUGAUGGAGAGGCUGAACGGGUAGUUACCAACACGACCUCCUCUACCUCCUAGCGUGGUGCCCAUCAAAGCUGUAGAUGGUGCUAAGGAAUCACCACCAAGCAAAAAAGCAUAUGAGGCUCCCAAUAGCCAUGACUGGAUUGGGAAAGAAAGGCCAGCCCGUCCAACUCCUUGCCAAUCACUUCAAAGUCUCCAUGAAAAGUUCAGAUGAAUUUUUCCACUACUACUAUGUACCCGUGGCUGCAGCUUCUCAUGCUGCCUAUAGAAACCUGGGGUUUCUGGCUGGGCAUCGACAUUGGUGGCGGAUGCAUCCCUGAAGUCAGGCUUCCACUUGUCUCUCGUGCCGAAGUAGACCUGUGGUGAUCUUGCUUGGCAGCGAAUGAGGGGCGCUGAUAGGCGUCGCCAGAGAGGACACCGCUGUCCUGUCCUCCCGUCCUGCUCAACAUCAAAUAUGGCGAUGAGCUACCUGUGGCUGCAGCUUCUCGCGCUGCCUAUUGAAACCUGGGCUUUCUGGCUGGGCACCGACAUUGGCGGCAGAUGCACCCCUGGAACCAGCCUUCCACUUAUCUCUCGCUCCUAAGUAGACUGGUCGUGACCUUUGCUUGGCAGCGGAUGAGAGGCGCUGCGGGUGCCGCCAGAGAGGACACACCACUAUCUCGUCAUCUUGUCCUGCUCAGCAUCAACUAUGGCGAUGAGGUGCUUCCUUUUGGUUUGUCAGUCAUCUUUCCACAACAAUCUUGCUAGCUUCGUUGAUUGGAUGGUGGUGUGAUGGGUGCUGAAUAUUUCACUCAAGUUUCCAUGGUACACACAGUGGCCUCUUCCUGAACGUUGGUAUGCAUCUCACUGUAUCGUAUGAUGUCUCAACUACAAUGAUUGCUAAACCCGGUCCUUCACCGACUUCUUCUUGCAAACCAGAAAGUUAACCGCCCUGACAGAAUUGACUGGCAAAAGGCUAAGUGUGCUCACAAGAACUUGAGGAUCAAAGCCGCUCCUGGAAAUUCAGAGUUCAAGAUUGUUGGUUUUAGUGUCAGAAAAUGCAGUGAACAAAAGUUUUCAUGGAGGCAGAGGAAUGGUAUUAACGGAGACACUUAUACUGUCGAAAUAACAGUCUCUGAUUACUUUUUGAGGUACAAAGGCACAUAGCUCCGGUAUUCUGGUAAUUUCACAUGUAUCCAUGCGGGGAGGUCAAAGCGUCCGACAUAUUUGACUUUGGAGCUUUGCACACUUGUUCCUCUGCAAAGAUACACCAAAGCUUUGUCAACUCUGCAAAUGCCCUCAAUCGUCGAGAAAUCUAGAUUUUAGCUUGCUGCAGCAGUAUAUAACUUGUUAGCUUUAGUGUUUUUGGCAAUUAACUGAUGGUUCAUGCUACCCUAAAUGCAUGGCAGUUUAACGUAGAAACUAUGACUCGAACCCAUGCUGAUGGCACAUGGCAUUUCGAUUGCACCAAAGUUUAUUCAAAUUAAAUUGAGGGUCCUGCAAGCACCCAAGCUGAGGGCCUGUAACAGUCAAGAUAUUUUGCCACACAAUAGACGUUGGAAUCUUGUGAACAAGAAUUUCUUUCGGACCUGUUCUGUCAAGAGGUGGUCGGUU